rnacentral:rRNA from 1 species
UGCCGGCUAAAAGUCGGAGGAAGGUGGGGAUGACGUCAAAUCAUCAUGCCCCUUAUGACCUGGGCUACACACGUGCUACAAUGGGCGGUACAAAGGGUCGCGAACCCGCGAGGGGGAGCCAAUCCCAAAAAGCCGCUCUCAGUUCGGAUUGGAGUCUCGCAACUCGACUCCAUGAAGUCGGAAUCGCUAGUAAUCGCGGAUCAGAACGCCGCGGUGAAUACGUUCCCGGGCCUU